rnacentral:rRNA from 1 species
GAUGAACGCUAGCGGCAGGCCUAAUACAUGCAAGUCGGACGGGAUCCAGGGGUAGCUUGCUACCCUCUGGUGAGAGUGGCGCACGGGUGCGUAACGCGUGAGCAACCUACCCAUAUCAGGGGGAUAGCCCGAAGAAAUUCGGAUUAACACCGCAUGACACCCCAUCCCGGCAUCGGGGCGGGGUCAAAUAUUCAUAGGAUAUGGAUGGGCUCGCGUGACAUUAGCUAGUUGGUGGGGUAACGGCCCACCAAGGCGACGAUGUCUAGGGGCUCUGAGAGGAGAAUCCCCCACACUGGUACUGAGACACGGACCAGACUCCUACGGGAGGCAGCAGUAAGGAAUAUUGGUCAAUGGGGCAACCCUGAACCAGCCAUGCCGCGUGCAGGACGACUGCCCUAUGGGUUGUAAACUGCUUUUGCCAGGGAAUAAAACCCGGUACGUGUGACCGGCUGAACGUACCUGGAGAAUAAGGAUCGGCUAAACUCCGUGCCAGCAGCCGAC